rnacentral:tRNA from 1 species
UCUCUAGUGGUCCAGUGGCUAAGAUUCUGUGCUCCCAAUGCAGGGGUCCUAGGUUCGACCCCUGGUCAGGGAA